UAACAGUUGGUGUAUAGGCACUUUUUAAUUUGACUGAGAAGGGAAUAGUGUAAUUCUAUUACUGUUAA
rnacentral:tRNA from 2 species